rnacentral:misc_RNA from 1 species
GCUCGGGAUGCUUCUUCAGCACUUGAGAAGGCCACAAAGCCUGAUCCUCUACUUACACCAUUUGGGUCACACAUAACCUUGCAUGAAGUUAUUGCACCGAAUUCUGAGAAUAAUUCCUUCAGUUUAUCGUCAGUGAUGCUAUCCUCUAGGUUCUUAACAUAUAGAUUCAAUCCUUCAAAUUUGUCAACCGUCUCCUUCAAAGUUUGCUCAAAACGCCCUUUUAAUUCCAUUUCUCUUUCAGAUUUUUUCUGUGCUUUCCCAACAUACCACUCCUUAUCAUCAAAUGUCUUCUCAUUAAGAGCCUCGACAGAUCGAGCUGCAUCAUCAGGAUUCUCAAAAUUGACAAAUCCAAAACAUUUGGACUUUCCAUCACCAUCUCUCAUAACUACAACACUAGUAAUAGUUCCAUAUUCACCAAAAAUCUUCUUCAAAUCCUCCUCAGUCGUUGUCUCUGACAAAUUCUUUACAUAAACAUUAUUGAAUUUUGUCUUAUCCAUAGCAGACUCUCUUUCCAGUUUGCGGAGGAAAGGUCCCACAUAAACUAGCUUGUCAUUCAGUAACAUGCCAUUCAAUUUAUCAAUUGCAUUUUUAGCAGACUCCUCAUUAUCAAAUUGUACAAAACCAUAUCCCAAAGACUGACCCGAAGAAUCAGUUACUACUUUGCAAGAUAAAAUAUUCCCAAAUGUGGAAAAUGUGUCAUGUAGAGCUUUGUUGUCAAUUGCCUUGUCCAAAUUCUUGAUAUAUAUAUUUCCCGCACCACUUUUACGAAUAGUAGGGUCACGAUGAGAAUACAUUAUCCUAAUUGGCUUGCCAUUGACAGGAGUGAAAUUCAUUACCUCUAAUGCCCGUGCCGCAUCAUGGAUGUUGCUAUAAUUGACAUAGGCAUAACCAAGGGACCUUUUAGUGGUCAAGUCCCUGCAUACCCGAAUCGAUACGACCUGACCCAUCUGAUUAAACAAAUCAUAAAGCUGAGUUUCAGUCACAUUGUGGUCAAGAUCCCCAACAUACAACGAGGUAGACACGAACUGGUUCACUCCAUUGCUUGCCACCCCAUUUGGAGCAGAAACCGGAGAUUGCGGUUGUACCUGAACCUGAGCCAUUCUCCAAAUUUCACACAACAAACAAACAAACCCAGAAAUGAAAAACAACAACAACAAAACCCUUAACUAAUGUUGUUGGAAAUGAAAACCAGUGACCAAAUAACCGUUUGAUAGGGAAUAUUUGGAUUUGGGUUUGUGAUUUUUGGGUUUUUGUUAGUAUUUUUCUUCUUUUUUUGAUAUGUGAUAUGUUGGCCGGAAAUUUCUCCCAAAAAUAGUGCCGUAGUUACAAGAGAGGUGAUAGUUUGAGUAGAUAGAAGAAUGGGCAGCACGAGCG